rnacentral:rRNA from 1 species
UACGUAGGGUGCGAGCGUUAAUCGGAAUUACUGGGCGUAAAGCGUGCGCAGGCGGUUGGUUAAGUCUGAUGUGAAAGCCCCGGGCUCAACCUGGGAAUGGCAUUGGAAACUGGCUAGUUGGAGUGUGGCAGAGGGGGGUGGAAUUCCGCGUGUAGCAGUGAAAUGCGUAGAGAUGCGGAGGAACACCGAUGGCGAAGGCAGCCCCCUGGGUCGACACUGACGCUCAGGCACGAAAGCGUGGGGAGCAAACAGG